rnacentral:lncRNA from 1 species
UUAGUAGAAGCGCAUGGGAGUUGAAGUGAAAGUCCGUGUGCGUCUGACCUCAACAUUUCGCGCGUUUUGCGUUUAUGAACCUAAAAACACCUGCUCUAAUGUCCACAUAGAUGGGAGAGAAACCCAUUUUGUGUGAUACAAAGUCCUCGAGCGGGAAUAUGGAUUCUGUACAAUGUUGGAAUGGAGCAAAAUGUGACCAGAUCCCCACUAGGGCUAGACCCAUGUCAGACACCUUAUCCAAACUGGCUCAACUGAUCACUUGCAUCGAGUACAAACCAAAACCACAGCCAUCUUCAUCCAUCUGCAAAGACUGCGGCCACAAAUUCUCCGACCUGAACAGUCUUGUGCGUCACCAGGAAAGAGAGCACGCCCUGCGAAAGCUCCAUCGCUGUCAACGCUGUGGCCAAAAAUUUGUUUUGCUCUCUAGUUUGCAGCUACACAAAUGCUCUCACGCCUCAUCCAUGUGCCAGACGUGCAGGGGGAAACCUCAAAGGGGUUCAUCUUGCCCUUCCUGCGGGACUGAAUCUUCAGAAGAUCCCUUCUAUCAUGACAACAGCCCCUAUGCGUGCACCCCAUGCGGACAAGCCUUCAGCCACAAGCAAGGGCUGCUGCACCACCAGCAGGCCGGAGACUGUCAGCCUGCCAAGACUCUAAAACCUCCUUCACCUUCAUACGCCUCCUUGCCUCCAUCUCCUCCAAAAACCACCGCAUCUCUUACCACAUGCACUUUGUGUACCAGAACGUUCCGUUCUUCUACUGGACUUGCUUGCCACAUGCGCUUUUCCCACACGCACAUGAAAAGCAGCACGGAGAAGAAUAGAGUUCUCAAAUCAAGUAUGUUGUUUCCAUGCCGUUCCUGUGACAAAUCAUUUCCUAAGACAUCACUGCUCCAUCAGCACAGGAAAGAGGAACACCGGCGGGAGAUAAAGGUGAGGAAACUGCAGAGAACCUCUUUGAAGACCACCAGGCAAAGGCAGAAAGGUGAAACAUAUCCAUGCCUCCACUGCGGAAAAGAGUUCCUGCACCAUCUGACCCGUUGGGCGCAUUUUAGACACUACAGCUCUCACCAUCAGACCCACCUUAAAUUGAGUGGCAAAUCAUCCGGCGCUGAUGCAGUUGGGUUUCACCCAAAGGCAGCCAAGGAUCCCAGACCUUCCCAAGAAAAUAGACCUUCAAAGAGAGGUAGAGCUAGGACCAAAAAUCUACCUGUUUUGACAGAAACUAAGCAAGAAGAAGCAGCUGAAACGGUUAAGCAGGACGACAGUGAUGGUGAGGAUGCUGAGUAUGCUUGUACGUCAUGCGACCAGGUCUUUAGCUCCAAAGCUGAGCUGCAUGUCCAUGAGAACAUCCAUGAGGAAAUCCCUGAAGAGCGUUAUCAACCAGCCAACACAUGCAGGUGUUGUAGUGUGUGUACAUUUGGGAUUCCCCUCGCUGAGAUUCCAGAAGUUUGUGAAAAGAAAGUCUAUCACUGUGUGCCAUGUGCCGAAGCCUUCAUAGCCCUGGACACUUUUCUAGAGCACUGCCAGAAACAUCUGCUA